rnacentral:rRNA from 2 species
GUCGAACGAUGAAACUUAAAUGAUUUCUUCGGAAUGAACUUAAGUGGAUUAGUGGCGGACGGGUGAGUAACGCGUGAGUAACCUGCCUUACACAAGGGGAUAGCCGUUGGAAACGACGAAUAAUACCCUAUGAAACUAUCACUUCGCAUGAAGCGAUAGUCAAAGUGUUAGCGGUGUAAGAUGGACUUGCGUCUGAUUAGCUAGUUGGUGAGAAAAAAGCCCACCAAGGCAACGAUCAGUAGCCGGCUUGAGAGAGUGUACGGCCACAUUGGGACUGAGACACGGCCCAGACUCCUACGGGAGGCAGCAGUGGGGAAUUUUGCACAAUGGGGGAAACCCUGAUGCAGCGACGCCGCGUGAUUUAGAAGGCCUUCGGGUUGUAAAAAUCUUUUGUAUAGGAAGAAAAUAACAGUACUAUACGAAUAAGGUCCGGCUAAUUACGUGCCAGCAGCCGCGGUAAUACGUAAGGACCGAGCGUUGUCCGGAAUCAUUGGGCGUAAAGGGUACGUAGGCGGGUCAUUAAGUUAGAAGUCAAAGGCUAUAGCUCAACUAUAGUAAGCUUCUAAAACUGGAGACCUUGAGUAAUGGAAGGGAAAGUGGAAUUCCUAGUGUAGCGGUGGAAUGCGCAGAUAUUAGGAGGAAUACCGGUGGCGAAGGCGACUUUCUGGCCAUUAACUGACGCUGAGGUAC